CUGUCUCUCUCUGUCUCUGUCUCUCUCUGUCUCUGUCUCUUGAAUCCCCUUGAUUAUUAUUUUUCUUAAAUUCCUCAUGUUAUCUCGCGUGCACUCAGGGGAAAGGUGGAGCUCUGGCCACAACCUAUAGCCACCUGCUGGGGAAGCCGCAGCAGAUCAGGACUCAGUCAGUGACCCCACUCCACACUCAAGACCAGCCAGAGGAACCCAAAUAUGGAUGCCCACCUCCCCCAUGCCCAUCGCAGGGGCAGCUGAGCCCCGGCAGUGGCCUCCCCACGUGAUCAGUCCCCGCACCCACACCUCUGCCUGCGGCUGGGCAGCCUCCCCGCUCCCAGCACUCCCUCCUGUCUUUCCUGCCACUGCGUGAGCACCACGAGGUCAGGAACUGAUUUUACCUCCCUCACAGGAAGUCAAAGGUCAAAGGUCUUAGAUGCCCCUGGCACCUGAUCCUGGAGCCCUGACCCCAGACAAAUGAGUCAUGUCGACACUUUCCAAGAUGAAUGGCCACAUCCCCAGCCAUCAGGCAAACUUAGUCCUUGCAAAGUUCACAGGCUUCGUUUCCAAAUGGAGCACGAUGUGCCUGACAGAUCAAAGGGCCCUGCUCAGCCCAGGAACAGGCAGCUGCCUGUGCUGGGAAAGUCCGGUGUCUAACAGGUCACAGGUCACACCGUUCACAGCAGCGUUUUUCACGACGGCCAGAGGGUGGACGAAUGUGUUACAUGACCCCUGCCCCGAAUGUGAUAUGUACGCACAAUGGGACGUCAGUGGUCCCAGAAAUGGAAGGCACCUCGGACCCAGGGGCCACACAGCCACCCUGAGGACCUGAUGCUGAGGGAACGAGCCCCUCUCAGAAGCUCAAAUACCGUUUGAUCCCACGUGUGAGGUCUCCAGAGUCGUCAAACCUACAGAGACAGACAGCGCCAGCAGCCCCUCUGUGUAGAGGUGAGACAGGCCAAGCUGCAGCUUCUAGACGAGACGCCCGAAAGCAGAGAAGUACCCAGAG
rnacentral:lncRNA from 1 species